GAUGAAGAACGUAGCGAAAUGCGAUAAGUAAUGUGAAUUGCAGAAUUCAGUGAAUCAUCGAAUUUUUGAACGCACAUUGCGCCCCCUGGUAUUCCGGGGGGCAUGCCUGUUCGAGCGUCAUUACAACCCUCAAGCUCUGCUUGGUAUUGGGCCCCGCCAGUUCUGGCGGGCCCUAAAGUCAGUGGCGGUGCCUUCCGGCUCCGAGCGUAGUAAUUCUUCUCGCUCUGGAGACCCGGUUGUGUGCUUGCCAACAACCCCCAAUUUUUUAAGGUUGACCUCGGAUCAGGUAGGGAUACCCGCUGAACUUAAGCAUAUCAAUAAGCGGAGGA
rnacentral:misc_RNA from 1 species